UACGUAGGGGGCAAGCGUUGUCCGGAUUUAUUGGGCGUAAAGAGCGUGUAGGCGGCUAGAUAGGUCCGUUGUGAAAACUCGAGGCUCAACCUCGAGACGUCGAUGGAAACCAUCUGGCUAGAGUCCGGAAGAGGAGAGUGGAAUUCCUGGUGUAGCGGUGAAAUGCGCAGAUAUCAGGAGGAACACCGGUGGCGAAGGCGGUUCUCUGGGCCAUUACUGACGCUGAGGAGCGAAAGCGUGGGGAGCGAACAGG
rnacentral:rRNA from 1 species